AUUGAACGCUGGCGGCAGGCCUAACACAUGCCAGUCGAACGGUAACAGGAAUCAGCUUGCUGAUUUGCUGACGAGUGGCGGACGGGUGAGUAAUGUCUGGGAAACUGCCUGAUGGAGGGGGAUAACUACUGGAAACGGUAGCUAAUACCGCAUAACGUCGCAAGACCAAAGAGGGGGACCUUCGGGCCUCUUGCCAUCGGAUGUGCCCAGAUGGGAUUAGCUAGUAGGUGGGGUAAAGGCUCACCUAGGCGACGAUCCCUAGCUGGUCUGAGAGGAUGACCAGCCACACUGGAACUGAGACACGGUCCAGACUCCUACGGGAGGCAGCAGUGGGGAAUAUUGCACAAUGGGCGCAAGCCUGAUGCAGCCAUGCCGCGUGUAUGAAGAAGGCCUUCGGGUUGUAAAGUACUUUCAGCGGGGAGGAAGGGAGUAAAGUUAAUACCUUUGCUCAUUGACGUUACCCGCAGAAGAAGCACCGGCUAACUCCGUG
rnacentral:rRNA from 1 species